CAAUAGCGUAUAUUAAAGUUGUUGCAGUUAAAAAGCUCGUAGUUGGAUUUCUGGACGGAGCAGCCGGUCCGCCGCUGUGCGGUGUGUACUCGUGCUUGACUCGGUUCAUCCUUGUGGGGAAGCGCAUUUCGGCAUUCAGUUGUCGAGGCGGGGAACCACAUCAUUUACUGUGAAAAGAUUAGAGUGUUUAAAGCAGGCAUUUUGCUGUGAAUACAUUAGCAUGGAAUAAUAACAUAGGACUUUGAUUCUAUUUUGUUGGUUGGAGAUCAAGGUAAUGAUUAAUAGGGAUAGUUGGGGGUAUUCAUAUUUAAUUGUCAGAGGUGAAAUUCUUGGAUUUAUGAAAGAUGAACUCAUGCGAAANCANNNACCAAGGAUGUUUUCAUNAA
rnacentral:rRNA from 1 species